CCGCAGCAGCCGCCAUGGGCUGCCUCGGGAACAGUAAGACCGAGGACCAGCGCAGCGAGGAGAAGGCGCAGCGCGAGGCCAACAAAAAGAUCCAGAAGCAGCUGCAGAAGGACAAGCAGGUCUACGGGGCCACGCACCACCUGCUGCUGCUGGGUGCUGGAGAAUCUAGUAAAAGCACCAUUGUGAAGCAGAUGAGGAUCCUGCAUGUUAAUGGGUUUAAUGGAGAUAAGAAGACAACCAAAGUGCAGGACAUCAAAAACAACCUGAAAGAGGCGAUCGAAACCAUUGUGGCCGCCAUGAGCAACCUGGUGCCCCUUGUGGAGCUGGCCAACCCUGAGAACCAGUUCAGAGUGGACUACAUUCUGAGUGUGAUGAACGUGCCUGACUUCGACUUCCCUCCCGAAUUCUACGAGCAUGCCAAGGCUCUGUGGGAGGAUGAAGGAGUGCGUGCCUGCUACGGACACUCCAAUGAGAACCAGCUGAUUGUGCCCAGUACUUCCUGGACAAGAUCCAUGUGAUCAAGCAGGCCGACUAUGUGCCGAGUGACCAGCACCUGCUUCGCUAAAGCCUCCUGACUUGUGGAAUCUUUGAGACCGAGUUCAGAUGGACAAAGUCAACUUCCACAUGUUUGACGCGGGUGGCCAGUGUGACGAGCACCGCAAGUGGAUUCAGUGCUUCAACGAUGUGACUGCCAUCAUCUUCGUGGUGGCCAGCAGCAGCUACAACAUGGUCAUCCGGGAGGACAACCAGACCAACCGCCUGCAGGAGGCUCUGAACCUCUUCAAGAGCACCUGGAACAACAGAUGGCUGCGUACCAUCUCGGUGAUCCUGUUCCUCAAAAAGAAAGAUCUGCUAGCUGAGAAAGUCCUUGCUGGGAAAUCGAAGAUUGAAGACUACUUUCCAGAAUUUGCUCGCUACAUUACUCCUGAGGAUGCUACUCCUGAGCCCGGAGAGGACCCAUGAGUGACCCAGGACAAGUACUUUAUUCGACAUGAGUUUCUGAGGAUCGGCACUGCCAGUGGGGAUGGGCGCCACUACUGCUACCCUCACUUCACCUGCGCUGUGGACACUGAGAACAUCCGCCGUGUGUUCAACGACUGCCGUGACAUCAUCCCGUGCAUGUACCUUCGUCAGUACGAGCUGCUCUAAGAAGGGAACCCCCAAAUUUAAUUAAAGCCUUAAGCACAGUUAAUUAAAAGUGAAACGUAAUUGUACAAGCAGUUAAUCACCCACCAUAGGGCAUGAUUAACAAAGCAAACUUUCCUUUCCCCCGAGUGAUUUUGCGAAACCCCCUUUUCCCUUCAGCUUGCUUAGAUGUUCCAAAUUUAGAAAGCUUAAGGCGGCCUACAGAAAAAGAAAAAGUAAAAAAAAAGGCCUCAGAAGUUCGCUCUCACUUUCAGUAAAAAUAAAUAAAAUAACCGCAGCAAACAAACAGAAACAAAAUGAAAUAAAAGAAACAAAUGAAAUAAAUAUUGUGUUGUGCAGCAUUAAAAAAAUAAAAAUAAAAAUUAAAUGUGAGAAAAAAAAA